rnacentral:rRNA from 1 species
UCGUCCGGAAUUAUUGGGCGUAAAGAGCGCGCAGGUGGUUGAUUAAGUCUGAUGUGAAAGCCCACGGCUUAACCGUGGAGGGUCAUUGGAAACUGGUCGACUUGAGUGCAGAAGAGGGAAGCGGAAUUCCAUGUGUAGCGGUGAAAUGCGUAGAGAUAUGGAGGAACACCAGUGGCGAAGGCGGCUUCCUGGUCUGUAACUGACACUGAGGCGCGAAAGCGUGGGGAGC